rnacentral:rRNA from 1 species
GACGAACGUUGGCGGCGUGCUUAAUACAUGCAAGUCAACUGAAGCAUCGGUAGCAAUACUGAUGUGGAGGUGGCGCACGGGUGAGUAACACGUAGGUAAUCUGCCUUCAGGUCUGACAUAACCCCGGGAAACCGGGGCUAAUAUCAGAUGAUGCAGCGGCUUGACAUCAAGACAGUUGUUAAAGCUUCGGUGCCUGAAGAUGAGCCUGCGUCUGAUUAGCUAGUUGGCGGAGUAAUGGCCCACCAAGGCUACGAUCAGUAACUGGUCUGAGAGGAUGAUCAGUCACACUGGAACUGAGACACGGUCCAGACUCCUACGGGUGGCAG